GUGCUCGCUUCCCCAGCAUGUAUACUAAAAUUGAAACAAUACAGAGAAGAUUAGCAUGGCCCCUGUGCAAGGAUGACAUGCAAAUUCAUGAAGGAUUCCAUAUUUAA